rnacentral:rRNA from 1 species
UACAGAGGGUGCUAGCGUUGUUCGGAAUCAUUGGGCGUAAAGGGCGUGUAGGCGGUUUGUUAAGUCAUGUGUGAAAUCCCUCGGCUCAACCGGGGAAGGACGCAUGAAACUGGCAAGCUAGAGUACCAAAGAGGGGGGUGGAAUUCCCGGUGUAGCGGUGAAAUGCGUAGAUAUUGGGAAGAACACCAGUGGCGAAGGCGGCUCACUGGUCCGAUACUGACGCUGAGGUGCGAAAGCGUGGGGAGCAAAACAGG